rnacentral:rRNA from 1 species
UGGGGAAUCUUAGACAAUGGGGGCAACCCUGAUCUAGCCAUGCCGCGUGAGUGAUGAAGGCCUUAGGGUUGUAAAGCUCUUUCAGCUGGGAAGAUAAUGACGGUACCAGCAGAAGAAGCCCCGGCUAACUCCGUGCCAGCAGCCGCGGUAAUACGGAGGGGGCUAGCGUUGUUCGGAAUUACUGGGCGUAAAGCGCACGUAGGCGGACUGGAAAGUUGGGGGUGAAAUCCCUGGGCUCAACCUCGGAACUGCCUUCAAAACUAUCAGUCUGGAGUUCGAGAGAGGUGAGUGGAAUUCCGAGUGUAGAGGUGAAAUUCGUAGAUAUUCGGAGGAACACCAGUGGCGAAGGCGGCUCACUGGCUCGAUACUGACGCUGAGGUGCGAAAGCGUGGGGAGCAAACA